GGAAAUUUCUGGAGCAAUGCCGUGUCCUGGAUCUUGAGAGGGCACAGGUAUCUAGAAUUACCACAGUUAAC